ACUCCUACGGGAGGCAGCAGUGGGGAAUAUUGCACAAUGGGCGCAAGCCUGAUGCAGCCAUGCCGCGUGUAUGAAGAAGGCCUUCGGGUUGUAAAGUACUUUCAGCGGGGAGGAAGGCGAUAAGGUUAAUAACCUUGUCGAUUGACGUUACCCGCAGAAGAAGCACCGGCUAACUCCGUGCCAGCAGCCGCGGUAAUACGGAGGGUGCAAGCGUUAAUCGGAAUUACUGGGCGUAAAGCGCACGCAGGCGGUCUGUCAAGUCGGAUGUGAAAUCCCCGGGCUCAACCUGGGAACUGCAUUCGAAACUGGCAGGCUAGAGUCUUGUAGAGGGGGGUAGAAUUCCAGGUGUAGCGGUGAAAUGCGUAGAGAUCUGGAGGAAUACCGGUGGCGAAGGCGGCCCCCUGGACAAAGACUGACGCUCAGGUGCGAAAGCGUGGGGAGCAAACAGGAUUAGAAACCCCGGUAGUCCC
rnacentral:rRNA from 1 species